rnacentral:rRNA from 1 species
UAAAAAACCCUUGUUUUUGAACAGAAGUCGAGCCGGAACGGCUUCAUAAGGGUUAAACUGUCUCCCACCCCCCAUCAGUGAAACUGAUCUCCCCGUGAAGAAGCGGGGAUACAGCUAUAAGACGAGAAGACCCUAUGGAGCUUCAGGCAAUGCAGGCACCAUUACAAAACAAAACCACACAUAUACUAAAUCUGCCUGCCAGCCUUAGGUUGGGGCGACCGCGGAGUAAAAUAAAACCUCCACAACAAACAGGACUACACCUUAAUCCAAGAGCCACCACUCCAAGAAUAGAUAAAUCAAUGUAAUAUGACCCGAUAAUCGAUCAAUGAACCAAGUUACCCUAGGGAUAACAGCGCAAUCCAUUUCUAGAGCCCAUAUCAACAAAUGGGUUUACGACCUCGAUGUUGGAUCAGGGUAUCCCAGUGGUGCAGCCGCUACUAAAGGUUCGUUUGUUCAACGAUUAAAACCCUACGUGAUCUGAGUU